AUUGAACGCUGGCGGCAGGCCUAACACAUGCAAGUCGAACGGUAACAGGAAUCAGCUUGCUGAUUUGCUGACGAGUGGCGGACGGGUGAGUAAUGUCUGGGAAACUGCCUGAUGGAGGGGGAUAACUACUGGAAACGGUAGCUAAUACCGCAUAACGUCGCAAGACCAAAGAGGGGGACCUUCGGGCCUCUUGCCAUCUGAUGUGCCCAGAUGGGAUUAGCUAGUAGGUGGGGUAACGGCGCACCUAGGCGACGAGCCCUAGCUGGUCUGCGAGGAUGACCAGCCACACUGGAACUGAGACACGGUCCAGACUCCUACGGGAGGCAGCAGUGGGGAAUAUUGCACAAUGGGCGCAAGCCUGAUGCAGCCAUGCCGCGUGUAUGAAGAAGGCCUUCGGGUUGUAAAGUACUUUCAGCGGGGAGGAAGGGGGUAAAGUUAAUACCUUUGCUCAUUGACGUUACCCGCAGAAGAAGCACCGGCUAACUCCGUGCCAGCCGCCGCGGUAA
rnacentral:rRNA from 1 species